AAUAGCUAAUUUAAUAAUUUGUGUGACGUGUCGUAGGGGAAGCUGCGGGAAUAAUCUAGUCUUCAUCCCCGCUUGAUUCAUUUCGUGCAAAGGCGUGACGAAUUCAAGUUGAGGUGUUGCGUGCUGUCUGCAAGCAAGCAAUCCAAUUGGCUGUCGCUAGGUGGCUAAAAUGAUGUCCACCAACAUGGUAGCGCCAUGUUGUUUCUAAUAACAGACGCAGCCGAAAUGAGUGUUGAAUGUUUAUCGUGACGUACUGACGUUUCCCAGUGCUGAAAAUGGAAAGGUGAUUUAGCAUGUAAACAGUUAAUGGCCAAAUUAUAAACAAGGGUCUAAACUACAUGUUUCUAAAUUUGCAUACCAGACUUUUUGACUGAAGUCAUGUCGUUCGAAGAAAAAGGACGUUGACUACACAGUCAACAAGGUCCCUUGUUUGAAAACCCGUUGGCUGCUACCUGUGAAUCCCCCUUUUUACUUCCUUGAACGGGCCCUCUUAAUUGAGGGUAGCUCCUUCGCUACUGAUCAUCCACUGGACCCGACUUCAUCCUUUGGUGAAAGCUGACGAGAGAACGCUGUAAUUCAAGACUGAUAAAUUGUGUAGUUAUGAUGUUAGAUAAAUUACAAGUGCAUAUCUGGGCUCCCUUCUUCAGUGGCCCCA